GGAAGCUGGCCGGAAGUGGGGACUCCGCCACCGGAAGAGGAGACCAGGUACUGUGAAUUUUCUCCCAGUAGAUUAUGGCUGAAAGGAUUGGGCCCACUGGAAAUCCUCAAAAGCUAUCAGCUGAAACUAACCAGAAGCCAGAAGACAAGGCAACCCACAGAUGCAGCUUAUUCAUUCAGCCCUAACAGAGCAGAACAAAUAAGGCUGAAGAGUAGGUUCGGACUCACAGAGAAGACAGCUGGCACAGAAGCUGACAAGAUGUUUCCGAAUGAGCUUUGCCAGGUGUUGGCACAUUUGUGGGAUCACCAUGGAUACAAGU
ensembl:lncRNA